rnacentral:rRNA from 1 species
UAACCUUGCGGCCGUACUCCCCAGGCGGUCUACUUAAUGCGUUAGCUUGAGAGCCCAGUGUUCAAGACACCAAACUCCGAGUAGACAUCGUUUACGGCGUGGACUACCAGGGUAUCUAAUCCUGUUUGCUCCCCACGCUUUCGUGCCUGAGCGUCAGUCUUUGUCCAGGGGGCCGCCUUCGCCACCGGUAUUCCUCCAGAUCUCUACGCAUUUCACCGCUACACCUGGAAUUCUACCCCCCUCUACAAGACUCUAGUUCGCCAGUUCGAAAUGCAAUUCCCAGGUUGAGCCCGGGGCUUUCACAUCUCGCUUAACAAACCGCCUGCGCACGCUUUACGCCCAGUAAUUCCGAUUAACGCUCGGACCCUCCGUAUUACCGCGGCUGCUGGCACGGAGUUAGCCGGUCCUUCUUCUGUAGGUAACGUCACAGUAAUAGCGUAUUAAACUAUUACCUUUCCUCCCUACUGAAAGUGCUUUACAACCCGAAGGCCUUCUUCACACACGCGGCAUGGCUGCAUCAGGGUUUCCCCCAUUGUGCAAUAUUCCCCA